UACGUAGGGUGCAAGCGUUGUCCGGAAUUAUUGGGCGUAAAGAGCUCGUAGGCGGUCUGUCGCGUCUGCUGUGAAAACUCGGGGCUUAACCCCGGGCCUGCAGUGGGUACGGGCAGACUAGAGUGCGGUAGGGGAGACUGGAAUUCCUGGUGUAGCGGUGAAAUGCGCAGAUAUCAGGAGGAACACCAAUUGCGAAGGCAGCUCGCUGGGACGUUACUGACGCUGAGACGCGAAAGCCAGGGGAGCGAACGGG
rnacentral:rRNA from 1 species